UACGAAGGGUGCAAGCGUUGUUCGGAGUUACUGGGCGUAAAGGGUGCGUAGGCGGCUUCUUAAGUCUGGUGUGAAAUCUCCCGGCUCAACUGGGAGGGUGCGCCGGAUACUGAGGGGCUAGAGUGUGGGAGAGGAAAGUGGAAUUCCUGGUGUAGCGGUGAAAUGCGUAGAUAUCAGGAGGAACACCGGUGGUGUAAACGGCUUCUGGACCAUAACUGACGCUGAGGCACGAAAGCGUGGGUAGCAAACAGG
rnacentral:rRNA from 1 species